CGUGGGAAACUUGCCCCCGCGUGUCGAGGGUAAAUCUUCACGGGUGAUGUCUUGCCCAACACGAGGGGGUAUUUUCAUUCUGGUUGUUCAUAGGUACUGCCGUCGGGAAUCACCGGCUUGGUUGCACUUCCUGAAAUGCUUCCAGAUUUUCUCAGCAGCGUCAUGUAAAAUGACACAGCGUGCCGAAGGACGGAAAGGUGCUUGUCGGACACACUCGGCAAAUCUUCCGAGCACAGCGGAGUGAAGUUUGCAAAACAGGCUGGAGGAAAUUCUGCUCAUCAUUUUAGCCUGCGUUCAUGCUGACUCCACCGGCCACGUGCAAGCAGCCUCCAGGAAUGCAAACCAGGUCUCUUCGAGGGCAUUUCCGGGGGAAGCUGCUUGAGAAGGCAGAAUGAAAGAGCAUCCUUUAAAAGCUCCUUCUGAGCUCUGUGGGCUGGUGGGACCCAGCCCUUCAGUGGGUCCCCCAAGGACAUUUUCCAGAGGAUUCCUCUCACCUGUGGAUGCAUGCAGCCAGGAUACCAGCCCCCGGCAAGCGCUCACCUGCAUUCAGACCCUACGCGUGAAUUUCGCUGAGACGCAGAUGGAAUCACACACUACGUGGCCUUCCGUGUGCAGACAUUCGUGCCCUCCGGCUAAUCCAAGUGUCAACAGGACCCCAUAAAUCUGAUCGUUGUACUCUCCACUUUAGCGACUUUACCUUUAACUUCCGACUCUUGAUUUCAGCUCAGGUCAUGAUCUCUGGGUCGUGAGAUGGAGCCCCACGGGCGUGGGGCUCCAUGCUGAGUGUGGAAUCUUCUUGAGAUUCUCUCUCUCCCUCUCCCCUUCCCCGCCCUCUGCUGAGCUCUCUCUCUGUCUCUAUCUCUAAAAAAUAAAUUAAUUAAUUAAAGGUGC
rnacentral:lncRNA from 1 species